GGGGAGUACGACCGCAAGGUUGAAACUCAAAGGAAUUGACGGGGGCCCGCACAAGCGGUGGAGCAUGUGGUUUAAUUCGAAGCAACGCGAAGAACCUUACCAGGUCUUGACAUCCUUUGACCACUCUGGAGACAGAGCUUUCCCUUCGGGGACAAAGUGACAGGUGGUGCAUGGUUGUCGUCAGCUCGUGUCGUGAGAUGUUGGGUUAAGUCCCGCAACGAGCGCAACCCUUGAUUUUAGUUGCCAGCAUUUAGUUGGGCACUCUAAAGUGACUGCCGGUGCAAGCCGGAGGAAGGUGGGGAUGACGUCAAAUCAUCAUGCCCCUUAUGACCUGGGCUACACACGUGCUACAAUGGAUAGUACAAAGGGUCGCGAAGCCGCGAGGUGGAGCUAAUCCCAUAAAACUAUUCUCAGUUCGGAUUGUAGGCUGCAACUCGCCUACAUGAAGCCGGAAUCGCUAGUAAUCGUGGAUCAGCAUGCCACGGUGAAUACGUUCCCGGGCCUUGUACACACCGCCCGUCACACCACGAGAGUUUGUAACACCCGAAGUCGGUAGGGUAACCUUUAUGGAGCCAGCCGCCGAAGGUGGGACAGAUAAUUGGGGUGAAGUCGUAACAAGGUAGCCGUAUCGGAAGGUGCGG
rnacentral:rRNA from 1 species